rnacentral:rRNA from 1 species
AACGAACGCUGGCGGCAUGCCUAACACAUGCAAGUCGAACGAGACCUUCGGGUCUAGUGGCGCACGGGUGCGUAACGCGUGGGAACCUGCCCUUAGGUUCGGAAUAACCCCCCGAAAGGGGUGCUAAUACCGGAUAAUUUCUUCGGACCAAAGAUUUAUCGCCUUUGGAUGGGCCCGCGUUGGAUUAGCUAGUUGGUAGGGUAAAAGCCUACCAAGGCGACGAUCCAUAGCUGGUCUGAGAGGAUGAUCAGCCACACUGGGACUGAGACACGGCCCAGACUCCUACGGGAGGCAGCAGUGGGGAAUAUUGGACAAUGGGCGAAAGCCUGAUCCAGCAAUGCCGCGUGAGUGAUGAAGGCCUUAGGGUUGUAAAGCUCUUUUACCCGGGAUGAUAAUGACAGUACCGGGAGAAUAAGCUCCGGCUAACUCCGUG